GACGUAGGGCGCGAGCGUUGUCCGGAUUUAUUGGGCGUAAAGAGCUCGUAGGCGGUUUGUCGCGUCUGCUGUGAAAACCCGAGGCUCAACCUCGGGCCUGCAGUGGGUACGGGCAGACUAGAGUGCGGUAGGGGAGAUUGGAAUUCCUGGUGUAGCGGUGGAAUGCGCAGAUAUCAGGAGGAACACCAAUGGCGAAGGCAGAUCUCUGGGCCGUAACUGACGCUGAGGAGCGAAAGUAUGGGGAGCGAACAGG
rnacentral:rRNA from 1 species